rnacentral:rRNA from 1 species
UACGUAGGGUGCGAGCGUUGUCCGGAAUUACUGGGCGUAAAGAGCUCGUAGGUGGUUUGUCGCGUUGUCCGUGAAAACUCACAGCUUAACUGUGGGCGUGCGGGCGAUACGGGCAGACUGGAGUACUGCAGGGGAGACUGGAAUUCCUGGUGUAGCGGUGGAAUGCGCAGAUAUCAGGAGGAACACCGGUGGCGAAGGCGGGUCUCUGGGCAUGUCCUGACGCUGAGGAGCGAAAGUGUGGGGAGCGAACAGG